GCGGUGCUACACAUGCAGUCGAACGAUGAAGCUGGAGCUUGCUCCGGUGGAUUAGUGGCGAACGCCCGAUCAACACGUGAGAAAUCUGCCCUUGACUCUGGGAUAACUGCGUGAAACUGUAGCUAAUACCGGAUACUUUCCCUGGUGGGCAUCCACUGGGGAAGAAAGAAUUUCGGUCAAGGAUGAUCUCGCGGCCUAUCAGCUAGUUGGUGAGGUAACGGCUCACCAAGGCGACGACGGGUAGCCGGCCUGAGAGGGUGACCGGCCACACUGGGACUGAGACACGGCCCAGACUCCUACGGGAGGCAGCAGUGGGGAAUAUUGCACAAUGGGCGCAAGCCUGAUGCAGCAACGCCGCGUGAGGGAUGAAGGCCUUCGGGUUGUAAACCGCUUUCAGCAGGGAAGAAGCGAAAGUGACGGUACCUGCAGAAGAAGCACCGGCUAACUACGUGCCAGCAGCCGCGGUAAUACGUAGGGUGCAAGCGUUGUCCGGAUUUAUUGGGCGUAAAGAGCUCGUAGGCGGUUAGUCACGUCGGAUGUGAAAAUCCAAGGCUCAACCUUGGACUUGCAGUGGGUACGGGCAGGCUAGAGUGCGGUAGGGGAGAUGGGAAUUCCUGGUGUAGCGGUGGAAUGCGCAGAUAUCAGGAGGAACACCAAUGGCGAAGGCAGAUCUCUGGGCCGUAACUGACGCUGAGGAGCGAAAGCGUGGGGAGCGAACAGGAUUAGAUACCCUGGUAGUCCACGCCGUAAACGGUGGGAACUAGAUGUGGGGUCCGUUCC
rnacentral:rRNA from 1 species